rnacentral:rRNA from 1 species
GAUAAACGCUGGCGGCGUGCUUAACACAUGCAAGUCGAACGAAGUUUUUCCUUCGGGAGACACUUAGUGGCGGACGGGUGCGUAACGCGUGGGUAACCUGCCCUGUACAGGGGGACAACAGCUGUAAACGGCUGCUAAUACCGCAUAAGCCCUUAGCACUGCAUGGUGCAUAGGGAAAAGGAGCAAUCCGGUACAGGAUGGACCCGCGUCUGAUUAGCCAGUUGGCAGGGUAACGGCCUACCAAAGCGACGAUCAGUAGCCGAUCUGAGAGGAUGUACGGCCACAUUGGGACUGAGACACGGCCCAGACUCCUACGGGAGGCAGCAGUGGGGAAUAUUGCACAAUGGAGGAAACUCUGAUGCAGCGACGCCGCGUGAGUGAAGAAGUAUUUCGGUAUGUAAAGCUCUAUCAGCAGGGAAGAAAAUGACGGUACCUGACUAAGAAGCACCGGCUAAAUACGUG